rnacentral:rRNA from 1 species
UGGGGAAUUUUGGACAAUGGACGCAAGUCUGAUCCAGCCAUGCCGCGUGCAGGAUGAAGGCCUUCGGGUUGUAAACUGCUUUUGUACGGAGCGAAAAGGUCUGCCCUAAUACGGUGGGCUCAUGACGGUACCGUAAGAAUAAGCACCGGCUAACUACGUGCCAGCAGCCGCGGUAAUACGUAGGGUGCAAGCGUUGAUCGGAAUUACUGGGCGUAAGGCGUGCGCAGGCGGUUAUGCAAGACAGAGGUGAAAUCCCCGGGCUCAACCUGGGAACUGCCUUUGUGACUGCAUAGCUAGAGUACGGUAGGGGGGGAUGGAAUUCCGCGUGUAGCAGUGAAAUGCGUAGAUAUGCGGAGGAACACCGAUGGCGAAGGCAAUCCCCUGGACCUGUACUGACGCUCAUGCACGAAAGCGUGGGGAGCAAACA